CCGGCCGGGAGCCGCCGGGGGUGGGCGGCCGUCUUCAGUACGGCGGCGAAGAGCUGUUCGAACAGCGGCUUCAGCCGGUCC
rnacentral:tRNA from 1 species